GACGAACCGUGCGAACGUUAUUCGGAUUCACUGGGCUUAAAGCGCGUGUAGGCGGGCCGGCACGUCGGAUGCUGAAAGCCCCCGGCUCAACCGGGGAACGGGCACCGAUACGACCGGCCUGGAGGGGGUAGGGGGAGCCGGAACUUCCGGUGGAGCGGUGAAAUGCGUUGAGAUCGGAAGGAACGCCCGUGGCGAAAGCGGGCUCCUGGACCCCACCUGACGCUGAGACGCGAAAGCCAGGGAGCAAACGGG
rnacentral:rRNA from 1 species